AAGCAAUGAUCGGUGGCAGGUGAUCAAAACUGUCUGUUAAAUUUCAGCUAGCUAUAGCAACAAAAUUGAAUCUUUUCCAGUGCUCUCUCCUCUAUGAGACAAGCCAUUAUAUAGACUUAGACAGU